rnacentral:rRNA from 1 species
CAAGACCUUGCGCUCUUGGAGCGGCCGAUGUCUGAUUAGCUAGUUGGUGAGGUAAAGGCUUACCAAGGCGACGAUCAGUAGCUGGUCUGAGAGGACGACCAGCCACACUGGGACUGAGACACGGCCCAGACUCCUACGGGAGGCAGCAGUGGGGAAUUUUGGACAAUGGGGGAAACCCUGAUCCAGCCAUGCCGCGUGAGUGAAGAAGGCCUUCGGGUUGUAAAGCUCUUUCAGCCGGAACGAAACGGUCACGGCUAAUACCUGUGACUACUGACGGUACCGGAAGAAGAAGCACCGGCUAACUACGUGCCAGCAGCCGCGGUAAUACGUAGGGUGCAAGCGUUAAUCGGAAUUACUGGGCGUAAAGCGUGCGCAGGCGGUUCUGUAAGUCAGAUGUGAAAUCCCCGGGCUUAACCUGGGAACUG